CACACUGGGACUGAGACACGGCCCAGACUCCUACGGGAGGCAGCAGUGGGGAAUUUUGGACAAUGGGCGAAAGCCUGAUCCAGCAAUGCCGCGUGUGUGAAGAAGGCCUUCGGGUUGUAAAGCACUUUUGUCCGGAAAGAAAUGGCUUUGGUUAAUACCUGGGGUCGAUGACGGUACCGGAAGAAUAAGGACCGGCUAACUACGUGCCAGCCGCCGCGGUAACAC
rnacentral:rRNA from 1 species